rnacentral:rRNA from 1 species
GGGGAAUAUUGGACAAUGGGCGAAAGCCUGAUCCAGCCAUGCCGCGUGUGUAGAGAGUGUUCUGAGUGUAAAAAACACUAAGUGUGGGGGGAGAGGGGUAUAUUAUUAUACUUUUGUGUUGACGUGAUCAACAGAGAAAAAACCGGCUAACAUCGUGUCAGCAGCCGCGGUAAUACGAAGGGUGCAAGCGUUAAUCGGAAUUACUGGGCGUAAAGCGCGCGUAGGUGGUUUGGUAAGAUGGAUGUGAAAUCCCCGGGCUCAACCUGGGAACUGCAUCCAUAACUGCCUGACUAGAGUACGGUAGAGGGUGGUGGAAUUUCCUGUGUAGCGGUGAAAUGCGUAGAUAUAGGAAGGAACACCAGUGGCGAAGGCGACCACCUGGACUGAUACUGACGCUGAGGUGCGAAAGCGUGGGGAGCAAACA